rnacentral:rRNA from 1 species
UACGGAGGGUGCAAGCGUUGCUCGGAAUUAUUGGGCGUAAAGGGCAGGUAGGUGGUCUCGUUUGUCUGGGGUGAAAGCCUUGGGCUUAACUCAAGAAGUGCCCCAGAAACGGCGAGACUAGAGUACUGGAGAGGGUCGUGGAAUUCCCGGUGUAGCGGUGAAAUGCGUAGAGAUCGGGAGGAACACCAGCGGCGAAGGCGGCGUUCUGGACUGCAACUGACACUGAUGGACGAAAGCCAGGGGAGCAAACGGG